GGUAUUGCACCUACCGAAGACUAUCAAACUCCGAAUGCCGUCAUCUUAUACUUGGGAGUCAGACUGUGGGUGAUAAGAUUCAUAGUCGAAAGGGCAACAGCCCAGAUCGUCAGCUAAGGUCCCUAAAUGUAAGUUAAGUGGUAAAGGAUGUGGGAUUGCACAGACAACCAGGAUGUUGGCUUAGAAGCAGCCACUCAUUCAAAGAGUGCGUAAUAGCUCACUGGUCGAGUGAUCCUGCGCCGAAGAUUUCCGGGGCUAAAACUUACUACCGAAGCUACGGCAUCAGUAAUGAUGGGUAGGGGAGCUUCCCAUACGGGUUGAAGCAUGACCGUAAGGACAUGUGGACAGUAUGGGAGUGAGAAUGUUGGCAUGAGUAGCGAGAUGUGGGUGAGAAUCCCACAGGCCGUAAACCCAAGGUUUCCAGGGGAAGGUUCGUCCGCCCUGGGUUAGUCGGGACCUAAGCUGAGGCCGAAAGGCGUAGGUGAUGGACAACAGGUUGAUAUUCCUGUACUACCGAUAACCGUUUGAGAGAAGGGAUGACACAGUAGGAUAAGCUAAGCACACUGUUGGUUAUGUGUGCCCAAGCAUUGAGGCAGUCAAAGUAGGUAAAUCCGCUUUGAUAAUGCUGGGAUGUGAUGGGGAGCGAAAUUUAGUAGCGAAGUAGCUGAUUUCACACUGUCAAGAAAAGUCUCUAUCGAGGUUAAAGGUACCCGUACCGCAAACCGACACAGGUGGGUGAGGAGAGUAUCCUA
rnacentral:rRNA from 1 species